AUUGAACGCUGGCGGCAGGCCUAACACAUGCAAGUCGAGCGAGCGGCGGACGGGUGAGUAAGGUAUGGGGAUCUGCCCGAUAGAGGGGGAUAACUAAUGGAAACGGUGGCUAAUUCCGCAUACUAUCGGAUGAACCCAUAUGGGAUUAGCGAGUAGGUGGGGUCAAGGCAAACCUAGGCGACGAUCUCUAGCUGGUCUGAGAGGAUGAUCAGCCACACGGGGACGGAGACACGGCCCAGACUCCUACGGGAGGCAGCAGUGGGGAAUAUUGCACAAUGGGCGCAAGCCUGAUGCAGCCAUGCCGCGUGUAUGAAGAAGGCCUUAGGGUUGUAAAGUACUUUCAGCGGGGAGGCGUUACCCGCAGAAGAAGCACCGGCUAACUCCGUGCCAGCAGCCGCGGUAAUAC
rnacentral:rRNA from 1 species